CGGGUCUCUCCUUGCAGCGGCGCGGCGAGAGUAGAGUGGUGGCUACGGAGGUGGGAACCAUGACAGGACAGGCAUUUAGAAAGUUUCUUCCACUCUUCCAUCGAGUAUUGGUGGAAAGGUGUGCAGCCGAAACUGUAACCAAAGGAGGCAUUAUGCUUCCAGAAAAAUCUCAAGGAAAAGUAUUGCAAGCAACAGUAGUGGCUGUUGGGUCAGGCUCUAAAGGAAAAGGUGGAGAGAUUCAACCAGUUAGUGUGAAAGUUGGAGAUAAAGUUCUUCUCCCAGAAUAUGGAGGCACUAAAGUAGUUCUAGAUGACAAGGAUUAUUUCUUAUUUAGAGAUGGUGACAUUCUUGGAAAGUGUGUAGACUGAAUAAAUCACUAUUGAAAUGGCAUUGACAUGAAGCUGCCCAUUCCACUGAAGUUCUGAAAUCUUGCAUCAUGUAAAUAAUUUCCAUGUCUCUCUUUUAUAAUAAACUGAUGAUAUCUAA